UACAGAGGUCCCAAGCGUUGUUCGGAUUCAUUGGGCGUAAAGGGUGCGUAGGUGGCGCGCUAAGUCAGGUGUGAAAUUUCGGAGCUUAACUCCGAAACUGCAUUUGAUACUGGCGUGCUUGAGGACUGGAGAGGAGACUGGAAUUUACGGUGUAGCAGUGAAAUGCGUAGAUAUCGUAAGGAAGGCCGGUGGCGAAAGCGAGCCUCUGGACAGUUACUGACGCUGAUGCACGAAGGCCAGGGGAGCAAACGGG
rnacentral:rRNA from 1 species